rnacentral:misc_RNA from 1 species
CAGACUGCUCUCUUGGUCAUUGACAUGCAGAAUGAUUUUAUCCUUGAGGAUGGGUUGAUGAGAGUCGAUGGAGGGAAAGCCAUUGUCCCAAAUGUGAUAAAGGCGGUUGAAAUCGCUAGGCAGCUUGGCAUUCUUGUAGUCUGGGUUGUCCGCGAACAUGAUUCACUCGGAAGAGAUGUGGAACUUUUUCGCCGGCAUUUGUACUCUUUGGGGAAAGUGGGUCCUACCUGUAAGGGAAGCAAGGGUGCAGAACUGGUUGAUGGACUCGUGAUCAAAGAAGGGGAUUAUAAGGUGGUGAAGACACGCUUCAGUGCAUUUUUUAACACCC